rnacentral:rRNA from 1 species
UCGGGAAUUUUGGGCAAUGGGCGCAAGCCUGAUCCAGCGACGCCGCGUGUGUGAAGAAGGCCUGCGGGUUGUAAAGCACUUUCGAUGGGAACGAAAUGUGCCGGGUUAAUACCCCGGUAAGCUGACGUUACUCAAUGAAGAAGCACCGGCUAACUCUGUGCCAGCAGCCGCGGUAAUACAGAGGGUGCGAGCGUUAAUCGGAAUUACUGGGCGUAAAGCGCACGUAGGUGGCGACGUAAGUCGGGUGUGAAAGCCCCGGGCUCAACCUGGGAAUUGCAUUCGAGACUGCAUUGCUGGAGUACGGAAGAGGAGGGCGGAAUUCCCGGUGUAGCGGUGAAAUGCGUAGAUAUCGGGAGGAACAUCAGUGGCGAAGGCGGCCCUCUGGUCCAGUACUGGCACUCAAGUGCGAAAGCGUGGGGAGCAAACAGGAUUAGAUACCCCCGUAGUCCCUGAGCGGGCUGGCAAGGCGCAU